GAUGAACGCUGGCGGCGUGCCUAAUACGUGCAAGUCGAGCGAACAGACGAGGAGCUUGCUCCUCUGACGUUAGCGGCGGACGGGUGAGUAACACGUGGAUAACCUACCUAUAAGACUGGGAUAACUUCGGGAAACCGGAGCUAAUACCGGAUAAUAUAUUGAACCGCAUGGUUCAAUAGUGAAAGACGGUUUUGCUGUCACUUAUAGAUGGAUCCGCGCCGCAUUAGCUAGUUGGUAAGGUAACGGCUUACCAAGGCGACGAUGCGUAGCCGACCUGAGAGGGUGAUCGGCCACACUGGAACUGAGACACGGUCCAGACUCCUACGGGAGGCAGCAGUAGGGAAUCUUCCGCAAAGGGCGAAAGCCUGACGGAGCAACGCCGCGUGAGUGAUGAAGGUCUUCGGAUCGUAAAACUCUGUUAUUAGGGAAGAACAAAUGUGUAAGUAACUAUGCACGUCUUGACGGUACCUAAUCAGAAAGCCACGGCUAACUACGUG
rnacentral:rRNA from 1 species